rnacentral:rRNA from 1 species
UACGAAGGGGGCUAGCGUUGCUCGGAAUCACUGGGCGUAAAGGGUGCGUAGGCGGGUCUUUAAGUCAGGGGGGAAAUCCUGGAGCUCAACUCCAGAACUGCCUUUGAUACUGAGGAUCUUGAGUUCGGGAGAGGUGAGUGGAACUGCGAGUGUAGAGGUGAAAUUCGUAGAUAUUCGCAAGAGCACCAGUGGCGAAGGCGGCUCACUGGCCCGAUACUGACGCUGAGGCACGAAAGCGUGGGGAGCAAACAGG